ensembl:rRNA 5S_rRNA 5S ribosomal RNA
GCUUACGGCCAUACCACCCUGAGCACGCCCGAUCUCAUCUGAUCUCGGAAGCUAAGCAGUGUCGGGCCUGGUUAGAACUUGGAUGGGAGACCGCCUGGGAAUACCAGGUGCUGUAAGCU